AGUCGAUUGGCUCGGUGAACGGAGCGACGCCGUUGUCGGUGGCGUCGUCAACAAAGUGGCUCACAGCGGCAACGUUCAUGACAUUUGUUGAUCA
rnacentral:tRNA from 1 species